AAACUUGUAAAAAUUGAUAUUUUGCCUCAAAAUAAAAACUCAUAAUUAAUAUUUGAACCUUUUUUUCUCCUAAUUUAUUUUUUACACUUUUUCUAACUUGUUUCCUUGUUAUGUAUUUACAGAAUUGCUGCCAAUGCACCAUAUCAAAUUAAUAAGCCAGCUGAAUCCAUGUCAUGGCUUGUGGGUGCAAAAUCAACUCAAAUUUGAUCUCAAUUCUCAGCUAUAAUUUUAAUGUAAUUUUGAGCAUUUUUGUUACAAAAAAAAAAAAAAAAAACAAAUGCUACUUAGUCAGAUUUAUUUUUGCCAGAAUUUUUUAGACAAAGUUUCUGGUUAUUUUUUCCUUGACUAGAUAGCAUUAUUAAUAUUAUCAUUAUUUUUGUUGUUUAAUGCACAUGAUUAAGAUAA
rnacentral:lncRNA from 1 species